rnacentral:rRNA from 1 species
GAUGAACGCUGGCGGCGUGCUUAACACAUGCAAGUCGAACGAUUAAAGCCCCUUCGGGGGUGUAUAGAGUGGCGAACGGGUGAGUAACACGUGGGUAACCUGCCCUAUGCUUUGGGAUAACUCAUGGAAACGUGAGCUAAUACCGAAUACUCCGGACUGAUCGCAUGGUCGGUCCGGGAAAGUUCCGGCGGCAUAGGAUGGACCCGCGGCCCAUUAGCUUGUUGGUGAGGUAACGGCUCACCAAGGCGACGAUGGGUAGCCGGGCUGAGAGGCUGAUCGGCCAAGAUGGGACGGAGACACGGCCCAGACUCCUACGGGAGGCAGCAGUGGGGAAUUUUGCGCAAUGGGCGAAAGCCUGAGGCAGCAACGCCGCGUGCGGGAUGAAGGCCUUCGGGUUGUAAACCGCUUUCAGCAGGGAUGAAACUGACAGUACCUGCAGAAGAAGCCCCGGCUAACUACGUGCCAGCAGCCGCCGUAAUAC